AGGCCCAAAGAGAGAAGCAGGGUCUGAUCCACAGCCUCCAUGGCAGCCGUUGAUCAGCCCUUGCCUCUCUUUAUCUCUG
rfam:Myotis lucifugus cont2.17364, whole genome shotgun sequence.